AUUCGAUCCAGAAGCCCAAAAUUCCUUUAUCCGGCCCAAUCUCCCUUAUUUCUCCCCCCUUCUCCUCCAAAGCAGCAAAGCUGCGUAUAAAUAAGAAUAAAUUCUCAACCAGCCACAACAUCGGCAACAACCCAUACCCAAUCCGAACUUCACAAAUCCAUGAAACUUUAACUCGAUAAUCUUGCAAAACACACCUCAUUUCCCUUCCUCUCUUCGAUUGUACUCCUCACGUGAUUGGCAUACAGUUUUUGUACCAUGGGAAGUCCAGGAUUCCUUUAGAAAAUGUGUAGGUAUCCGUUCCAAUGGCUAGAUGCCGAGAAUUUUGGGUUGAAUGGUACAAAAUCAUACAUACUUGCCCGAUUCUCAUUGGUGGGUGAGAGAAAUUUCAUCCCUUAAUCUCUAUUGGUUGGCCUAUUUUGGAUUUCAUGAAGAAAAUCCAAAAUCUGCACAUUAGUGGAUGAGGGAUCUAAGUUGUAGAAGAAAUUCAAAUUCCAAAUUUUUUCUUCCUAAAAUACCCAAAUACUAUUUUCUAUAUAAGAGGCGAUGGGACACUGUUUAGGGGGAUUGUAGAUUCUAGAGUUGAAAAUUAGGGUUGGAAUAAUUUUCGGGAAAAAGGAGAAAAUCCGGGUAGCUAAGAGUUCUUUCUCAUGGUAAAAAUUUCUCUUUUCUUUCUUCUUUUGAAAGUGAGUUCAAAAUUUUGGGUCUGAAAAGAGGGAAAAAAUUCUCAAAAAGGCAGAAACACAAGGAAAUUUCGGUUUAGAAAAACUGAGAGAGAAGGAAGAAAGGAAAAAAAAGAAAUUUUUGGAGAAAAAUUAAGUCUUUAUUAGAAAUCCUGUUCUUGUUUUGAAAGUUCGUCAGCUAAAUUAGAGUCUCGAGUUGAUGGUAAGGAAGUUUUUCGGUGGUCGUGAUCUCUAUACCGCAUCGUCGUCUCAUUUUACUGCACUCAAAAAGUCAACUCUGAGACCAAGUCCAAAAGCCGAUUAUGAGGUGUACGGAUGUAAGGAGACAAAAGGAGAAGAAUGAGUUGAAGUCCAUCUUUGAAGCGGCCAAGGGACUUGAAAGUCUCAUUUUUUCAUUUAUUUGUUCAUUUAUUUAUUUAUGCAUUUUUAUUGUUGUCUUUGUUCGUUUAUUCAUUUUUUUAUUUCGCUUAUUCAUUCAUUUGGGUCUCGAAGCCAAAUUUGUAAAUUUAAUACAGGUGGAGCGGAUUUUGGGCCAACGGGCCUGAAAGAAUAGUUUAGGACAAGUUAUGGGCCGAAAGCCUUACUAGAUUGGGACAUGGUUUAUCGAUUUGGGACCAAGGGUCUAAACUCUUUACUUUCU